ensembl:lncRNA
CACGGGUAGCAGAGCAAGGACUGAAGGGGAGGAUUGUGCAGGGAAUCAAAGAGGGGAGGGGAGGGAAGGAAACAAGCAAGAGGGUGGACGAGCGGAUGGAUCGGGAAGACGGAAUGAAAUAAAGGGAAGGGAGCUGAGCUGCUUGUGUGAAGAAUCGAGUAGACGUGUGAAGGAGAAGCCGGGACGCAGCAGGUGUGGCUGGGAAGAGUCCCCUCCAGCAUCUGGACUAUCAGCACUGGCGCCCCCCAAGAACGUGUGCUCGCACCACUGGUCUUCUCCCUCAACGACUGCACCUCAGAGGACGCAACUGACACAACGGUCAUUGGCCUCAUCGGGGAUCCAUCCAUCCAUUGUCAAACCGCUUAUCCUGCACACAGCGUCGGGGGGUCUGGAGUCUAUCCCAGCCAACUUGGAUUGGUCGCCAGCCAAUCGCAGGGCUCUCAUCAGGGAUGCCUCCUGCUGCUGUCGCAUGCAACCCUGCGGCUUCCCGGCACCGUCCGCCUUCUCAGAUUCAGCACCCCACCUGCAUCUCCAGCCAACUCCUCCCAACUCCAGCAGAACCUCCAUCCACCGCCACCAGAGUCUGGACUCCUCGAGGAGAUGUGACUGCCGAUCAGGGGAAACCCAGCGCAACCUCAAAUCCCCUCGUUUAGUUCAAGCACCAAAUAAAUUCUGUGUCACUCAUUAACCCAUCAACUGGCAUAAUACAUGUUGACUAAUCCUUUGGUCGUCUCUCCUGUUUGAACUGAUAUUUAGCCGUAUUUUGCCCCUUUAGGUAGAUUGUCAGAGAGAGACAGACAGAGUGCGAGAGAGAGGGUGUCAAGAGUAAUUCCAAGUGGAUGUCUGGCCCCUGAGGGCACCCUGCCCUGCGGCUAUGGAGGCUCAGACAUUGAGAGAUGCUCAUUCUGCUGUGUGAUGAGAGUAACAACAAGCUGCUCUACUCUUUAACACUGAAUCUGCUACCCAACGCUUG